rnacentral:rRNA from 2 species
CGGGGGGAACGCGAAGAACCUUACCAGGGUUUGACAUCCUGCGAACCCCUUGGAAACGAGGGGGUGCCUUCGGGAGCGCAGAGACAGGUGGUGCAUGGCUGUCGUCAGCUCGUGUCGUGAGAUGUUGGGUUAAGUCCCGCAACGAGCGCAACCCACGUCUUUAGUUGCCAGCAUUCAGUUGGGCACUCUAGAGAGACCGCCGGUGAUAAACCGGAGGAAGGUGUGGAUGACGUCAAGUCAUCAUGCCCCUUACAUCCUGGGCUACACACGUACUACAAUGCU